rnacentral:rRNA from 1 species
AGAGUUUGAUCCUGGCUCAGAACGAACGCUGGCGGCAGGCCUAACACAUGCAAGUCGAGCGCGCCUUCGGGUGAGCGGCGGACGGGUUAGUAACGCGUGGGAACGUGCCCUUCUCUACGGAAUAGCCUCUGGAAACGGAGAGUAAUACCGUAUACGCCCUUUGGGGGAAAAAUUUAUCGGAGAAGGAUCGGCCCGCGUUAGAUUAGGUAGUUGGUGGGGUAACGGCCUACCAAGCCUACGAUCUAUAGCUGGUUUUAGAGGAUGAUCAGCAACACUGGGACUGAGACACGGCCCAGACUCCUACGGGAGGCAGCAGUGGGGAAUCUUAAACAAUGGGGGCAACCCUGAUCUAGCCAUGCCGCGUGAGUGAUGAAGGCCUUAGGGUCGUAAAGCUCUUUCGCCUGUGAUGAUAAUGACAGUAGCAGGUAAAGAAACCCCGGCUAACUCCGUGCCAGCAGCCGCGGUAAUACGGAGGGGGUUAGCGUUGUUCGGAAUUACUGGGCGUAAAGCGCGCGUAGGCGGAUUAGAAAGUUGGGGGUGAAAUCCCGGGGCUCAACCUCGGAACUGCCUCCAAAACUGCUAGUCUAGAGUUCGAGAGAGGUGAGUGGAAUUCCGAGUGUAGAGGUGAAAUUCGUAGAUAUUCGGAGGAACACCAGUGGCGAAGGCGGCUCACUGGCUCGAUACUGACGCUGAGGUGCGAAAGUGUGGGGAGCAAACAGGAUUAGAUACCCUGGUAGUCCACACCGUAAACGAUGAAUGCCAGUCGUCGGGUAGUAUACUAUUCGGUGACACACCUAACGGAUUAAGCAUUCCGCCUGGGGAGUACGGUCGCAAGAUUAAAACUCAAAGGAAUUGACGG